rnacentral:misc_RNA from 1 species
GAUGAAGAACGCAGCGAACUGCGAUAAGUAAUGUGAAUUGCAGAAUUCAGUGAAUCAUCGAGUCUUUGAACGCACAUUGCGCCCCCUGGCAUUCCGGGGGGCAUGCCUGUCCGAGCGUCAUUGCUGCCCUUCAAGCCCGGCUUGUGUGUCGGGUCGUCGUCCCCCCCGGGGGACGGGCCCGAAAGGCAGCGGCGGCACCGCGUCCGGUCCUCGAGCGUAUGGGGCUUUGUCACCCGCUCGAUUAGGGCCGGCCGGGCGCCAGCCGGCGUCUCCAACCUUCUAUUUUACCAGGUUGACCUCGGAUCAGGUAGGGAUACCCGCUGAACUUAAGCAUAUCAAUAAGCGGAGGA